rnacentral:lncRNA from 1 species
CCUAGGAUCACCAUGACACCCCAGUUAUGUUCAGCCCUGUACACUGACAGUCUGACCCUCAAUCAUUACCCUCACAUCCUGACCUCAAACUUUCCAAUUUCUCAUCCAGCACAUAAAUAAUUCACAAAGCAAUUUCUACAAGGCCAUGGCAGUGUGACAUAGAAAUCAAUGAUGCCCAGGCACAAGGACAGACCGUUUUACAACUCACAGACCCAUCAGAUGGUUACAUCAUUCUUCCGGUUGUUGAGUAUUUUCCCUGAUGUCACUGCCAAGUUGCUGGGUUCAUUCAUCAGGAAACAGAGGGUACCUGGAGCAGAAAGCACUGUAGAAUUUUAAGCUGGCUACACUUCACCCUGCGGUUAUCAAAUGAUGAAGAACUCUCUGGAGCAGCAAAGCGUGGCUAAGUAUGCAACAGCCUCAUUUGCUGAGUGACAUUUAGCCACGGGGGAUGCUCCGUGGGUGUGGCUGAUACAGUACUAAAGCUUGCUCAGUUGACCUGGGCAGGAGCACAGGCUGGAAUCUCUGCUGAGGACAGACACUCUCUGUUCCCAAGGCAGAACUUGAUCUCUGGAGGCUCUGAGGGAAAGACUAUUGCAGAACUGCCAGAAAACAUAAUAAUUGCUGUGAUUAUGAUUAUGAGCGCCUUAUAAUUGCUGCUCCAUCAUGCCAACUAUCUUGGGAAGAGAAGAGGAAGGCUUUAUGAAUAAAUGAUCACUUAAAUAUUUAAACA